UAAGCCAUGCAUGUCUAAGUCCAAGCUGUGUGUACGCAAGUACACGCGGCGAAACCGCGGACGGCUCAUUAAAUCAGUCGUGGUCCAAAUGGGCUAGAGUUAUCUUACUUGGAUAACUGUGGUAAUUCCAGAGCUAAUACAUGCAACUGAAAUCCUUUGCGAAAAGUACACUCGUGUGCUUGAGUAUCGGAUGCUUUUAUUAGACCAAACCGCUAUCAUGUGCUACAUUUGGGUAGAUACGUCGUUCAUUCGUACUUCGGUGCGUUUCGUCUUCUGUCUGCACUGUGUAUGCACUAGGCUCGUGUUAUGGUGACUCUGGAUAACACCUCAUGACAAGCGCACGUAUCCAUUUUAAUGGGACGGCGCUGCCACUUUCGAGUGUCUGCCUUAUCAGCUAUGAAUCGUUCGUUAUGUGCGACCGAUGGCUUUGACGGGUAACGGGGAAUCAGGGUUCGAUUCCGGAGAGGCAGCCUGAGAAACGGCUACCACGUCCAAGGACGGCAGCAGGCACGCAAAUUACCCAAUCCCAGCACAUGGGGGAGGUAGUGACGAAAUCUAACGAUGCGGGCGCCCCUUCUGGGGCCCCGCAAUUGGAAUGGGCACUUUCUUUCUAAACACCCUGUUGAGAACCUACUGAAGGGCAAGUCUGGUGCCAGCAGCCGCGGUAAUUCCAGCUUCAGUAGCAUCUACUAAAGUUGCUGCGGUUAAAAGGCUCGCAGUUGAAUGUCAGUAACAAGUGCAGCGAUGGUGGACGUUGGAGUGUGUUGUUCAUUGCAUGCGCUAGUGGCUGGGUUUUUAACACGGUCAUUUGUGUGUGUGUGUGGCUUCACGUCUUACUCCCGUCCGUAACAAGCCUCCUCACUUGCUUACAAAAACGGAUUUGUGGUGUGUUUACCGAGUCUCUGUAGCGCUUCGCGGCGUUAUAUAUUCGGUUUACACUUUGGAUUCAAGGUCACCUUGAGUAAAUCAGAGUGCUCAAAGCAGUCGUAAGGAACGUGUGGGUGGUAACAUUCGCAUGUUCUGUGAUAUGGAUGUCUUCAUUGACAGACAGUCUUGGUUUUGCAUGGUAUGUCGAAAGACGCCGUAUCUUGUUGGUUACGAGUCUUGUGCGGUGGUGUGUAAAUCGAACGUAUUUCCCUCUGCUCUUUUCAUUCUCUCCGAGAGUGUUAGAGUACGGAUACGUAAGAGAGCCCACUCAAGACCAACAAGUGCGGAAUGAUUAAGAGACCCGGUCGAAGGCAUUGGUAUUGCGAGGCGAGAGGUGAAAUUCUAUGACCCCCGCAAGACCUCCUGAAGCGAAAGCGUCUGCCAAGGACGUUUCAUAAUCAUGAACGAAUGGAGCCUGCGGCUUAAUUUGACUCAACACGGGCAAUCUCACCAGGCCAGCACUCUUGUACGAUUGACAGAUUGAGAGUUCUUUCUCGAUUAAGUGGAUGGUGGUGCAUGGCCGUUCUUAGUUGGUGGAGUGAUCUGUCUGGUUAAUUCCGAUAACGAACGAGACUCUUCCCUGUUAAAUAGUCGGUUGGAUCUUGCGUCCUUAAAGAGUCGGUUGCUUUCUUUUCGCGCUCCUCGUGUAUGUUGCCUUAACGGGUGUGUGUACUUGGGUGUGUGGGGAAGUCGUCGCUCCAAGUCCACCGCUUACUGGUUAUUUUGCGUAUGGGUGCUUUGUCGUUUGUGCGUGAGCUCGCUCUGUCUCUCGUGGGCUCUAUGUCUUCCCUCGGGGAGGUAUGGUGGUUYGYYYGAGUAYUGCGCGUUUGCGUAUACGUGGCGUNGUAWUUGUGCGUGAAGGUCAGUAAAACUSUUCUUAGAGGGAUUCACGGUUMUGAAGCCGUAAGAAACUGAGAGCAAUAACAGGUCUGUGAUGCCCUMAGAUGUUCUGGGCCGCACGCGCGCUACAAUGCCGUGCACAGCAUGUGUUUUUCCUUCUCCGAGAGGAGUGGGUAACCAUCUGAAAGCACUGACAAUUAAUGAUAAUAGCGUACUCACGUACGUCUUCCAUCGCCGGCUUGCUUGGGCCUGGGGCUUGCAAUUCUUUCCCACAAACGAGGAAUGCCUAGUAGCGGCGGGUCACUGAGCCCGCCUUGACUCUGUCCCUGCCCUUUGUACACACCGCCCGUCGCUACUACCGAUUGGGUGUACCAGUGAGAUCCUUGGACUGGCGAACCUUGUAAAGCGUGCAUUCAUGUACGAAUGAGCAAGCGUGACCGACGGAAAGAGGCUCGAACUGGUGCACUUAGAGGAAGUA
rnacentral:rRNA from 1 species